AUACGGAGGAUGCGAGCGUUAUCCGGAUUUAUUGGGUUUAAAGGGUGCGUAGGCGGCCUUGUAAGUCAGCGGUGAAAUUUUGCAGCUUAACUGUAAAAGUGCCGUUGAUACUGUGAGGCUAGGAUUUGGUUGCUGCGGGUGGAAUGUGUGGUGUAGCGGUGAAAUGCUUAGAGAUCACACAGAAUAUCGAUUGCGAAGGCAGCUCACAAAGCCAAGAUUGACGCUGAGGCACGAAAGUGUGGGGAUCAAACAGGAUUAGAUACCCUGGUAGUCCACACUGUAAACGAUGAUAACUCGCUGUCGGCGAUAUACAGUCGGUGGCCAAGCGAAAGCGAUAAGUUAUCCACCUGGGAGUACGACCGCAAGGUUGAAACUCAAAGGAAUUGACGGGG
rnacentral:rRNA from 1 species